rnacentral:rRNA from 1 species
GACGAACGCUGGCGGCGUGCUUAACACAUGCAAGUCGAACGGUAAGGCCCUGCUUUUGUUGGUUGCUCGGGUGGCGAGCGGGUGAGUAACACGAGAGUAACCUGACCUUGCCUUUGGGAUAGCUUCAGGACACUGGGGCGAAUACCGGAUAGGAUCUCCUGCUUCAUGGUGGGGGUUGGAAAGUUUCGGCGGUUGUGUCUGGACUGGCGGCUGACCAGCCUGUUGGGGGGGUUGUGGCGUACCACGGCUUUGACGGGUAGCCGGCCUGAGCGGGUGACAGGCCACAUUGGGACUGAUACACGGCCCAGACUCCGACGGGAGGCAGCAGUGGGGAAUAUUGCACAACGGGCGGAAGCCUGAUGCGGCAACGCCGCGUGCGGGAUGAAGGCCUUCGGGUUGUAAACCGCGUUCGCCUGGGACGUAGCGGGAUUGACGGUAAUGGGUAAAGAAGCACCGGCUAACUACGUG